rnacentral:lncRNA from 1 species
AAAAAUAUAUAAAAUGCAUAAUGACUUCAACAUUGUUAUCUUUUUUCCUCUUUAAGAUAACACUAUUAGAACUUGUUAGAAAGAAAAGUAAAAAAUUUUGGACAUCCAAAGAGACCCCAAGAUUCUAGAUAUCCAUUAAGCCAAAUGCAAUUGUUAGGAUAGUUAGGGAGGAAAAGGGGGAAAAAUAGACAGCCCAUCAAACGGGUCAAAUAAUCAAGAAGCAAAGAUAAUAAUAAUAAAAAAAAGUUAAUCAAUUGUUAGUAUAGUUAGGGGGAAAAGGGGGAAAAAUAGACAGCCAUCAAACAGGUCAAAUAAUCAAGAAGCAAAGAUAAU